ACAGGCAGAGGGAGAAUCAGGGAUCCUGAUAGAGGACUCGAUCCCGGGAUUCUGGGAUCACACCCUUAGCUGAAGGCAGACGCUCAACCACUGAGCCACCCAGGUGUCCCUGUAUGGGUGUCCUUAAAGAUUCUUCCAAAAAAGGAGUCAUCUGGGCCUGCCUUCCCAAGAGCGCUAGAUCAGAUUGUUUCAGAUCUUGAGUUUCCCAAUCCCAUGGUGAAGAUGAAGUGCUCCAAACUCAGAUUUCUGUGGAUUUGAGAAGAAGGAGGAGGAGAAGAAGAGGAGAAGAACAAGAAGAGGAGGAG